rnacentral:snoRNA from 10 species
AUGGAAGUGAGGAUCCUUUCCCCAGCUGAUCGACUAUGAUUAUACUGUGCGCAAAUGUAAUCCCUCUUCAGAGGAUUCAAGCCAGAAAUCUGAUCCAU